AGGCACACGUGAACGAGAUCGUGAAGACGAUCAUCAUUCAUCACGAGACUAUUUUCCCAGAUGCGAAAGAACUGGAUGGCCCUGUGUACGAGAAAUGUAUGGCCGGAGGCGACUACUGCGACAGCCCAUACAGUGAGCAUGGUACCCUGGAGGAGGUGGACCAAGACGCUGGCACAGAGCCCCAUACCAGUGAAGACGAGUGUGAGCCCAUCGAAGCCAUAGCCAAGUUUGACUAUGUCGGGCGGUCAGCUAGAGAGCUGUCCUUCAAGAAGGGUGCUUCACUGCUGCUGUAUCACCGAGCUUCUGAGGACUGGUGGGAAGGCAGACACAACGGCAUCGAUGGGCUUGUGCCUCAUCAGUACAUAGUUGUGCAA
rnacentral:lncRNA from 1 species